UUUUCUUCCACGCACAACGGACACUAAUGUUUUUGUCACUUUUUAUGGAAUCAAACUCAAAAUAAGGUCAGUACUUCCACGCUUUAAACGCUGCAUGCUCAUACUCUCUCCCGCACUCGAUAUAUUAUCCAUUGUUGAUCUGCAGACAGCUGUUGUCACGAAUCUUGCACUCGCUUACGUCACUGUCAUGAGACAUUCUCGCAAAAAAUCACGGUUUUAGUAACGCAGUAACGCAACGUUCCUACGGGAAAGUAACAGUAAUCUAAUUACCGUUUUUGCAAUGGUAAUCCCUUACAUUACUCGUUACUUGAAAAAAGUAAUCAGAUUACAGUAACGUGUUACAAGUAACGCGUUACUGCCCAUCUCUGGAUGGGUUGGCAUCUUGCCCGCCAACCAUCACUCCGGCACUCCUCCUCUAGCACAGAAUACUUUUCCCUCUUUCUCUCAUUGACCUCCUCCAUACGAUCUUCCCAAGGCACAGUAAGCUCCAAGUGGAGUACCUGCUUGGAAUCAGCUGAGAAUGAUGAUGAAUGAUGUCUGGCCUUAGCGUUGUCUUGGCUACCACUUCAGGGAACUUUAACUGCUUUGCCAGAUCAACUCUCAGUUCCCAAUCAUGCGCCGUUGCCCACAGGCCAGAGAAGGUGUUUCGGACUGCUGCUGCUGGCUUCUUCCCAGCUUUAAUGAAAGUGACCUGUAAAAAUUCUGUGUUUUAAAAUAGCUGAAAACCUCUCAUUAUUUAAAUUAAUUAAACCUAUCAACAGAAUGUGAACAAAUGACUACUUUACUUUACACUCAGCUGAGACAGCAGAAAAAAGGAGUGCCAGUAAUUUUCAUAAAGUUGCUCCUUGAAAUUGAUCUCUCCAUUGAUAAAGAAGAUAGACCUUGAACGUGUCAGAAAAUAAUGGCCAACUAUGUGAUCUGUAGUAAAAAGGUCCAUGAAAUAUGUGAAAAUCUCGAAGUCCACUCUACUGGGGCCACUGCUCUCCUGCCUCGCGGUAUGUGGUCACCUCUGAGCUAAAGUGGUACUGAGUAAGCACUGGUUUUGAAGCUUUCAGGGUGGUGCUUACACCGCUGAAUGUUGCAGAUAUGUUAGUUUGUUUUGUUUGUUGUUUGUAGCUAGCAACCUGGCAGCCUUUUGUAAGAAUUCAGCACUGUAUGUAUGAGAGAGAGACAUGAAAAAGUAUUUCCCUCCUUCCUGUUUUUUAAUCUUUUUGCAUAUCUGUCACACUUACAGAUUUCAGAUCAUCAAACAAGUUUUAAUAUUAAAAUAUUAACAUAAUAUUUUAAUAUUAGACAAAGAUGGAUCCAAACCCAAUGUAAGGUUUAUGCCACAGCUUGCUAACAGUAUCAGUAAUUACCAACAGUUAUCAGCAUGUUUCUGCAAUGCUUAAUCCACCAGUUUGUGCAACGUAUUUAAUCAAAAUCAUAUUUUUAAUACUACAAUAUAAUUAUUGUCAUUAUCUAUGAACUUUCAAAUUUACUGUUAUACAUAAAUCCAAAAAAUAAAAUAAAAAGCACAUCAUUAUUAUUUUGUAUUAAGAUAAAUACACUAAAUUGUAGAAUUAUUUACUUGUAUUCAAGUACAAAAUUAGUUUUAGUGGCUGAAUGUUUCAUUUGAUUAAUGUCUGACUUCCCACUAAAGUCCAAUGUCUGCUCAAAUUUAAGUAUAAAAACAUGAAUUCAGUAAUAAAUAACAAUCACAUUUUUAGUUUUAUACACAGUUUUGACAGAUAUCUAAAAUAUCUGUUUUCUCAUUUUUAUGAAAGGUGGUCUACAAAUUGGUAAGCACUCUCCAUACAGUAAAUAGAUAUAGGAAGGCAACCCGGCAGCCUUUGUAAGGCUUUUGGUUGGGAGACCAGUCAUUGGAUUGUGAGCAGAAUGGCUCUAAAUCAGCGGUCCCCAACCUUUUUAGCACCACGGACUAGUUUAUGUCCAACAAUAUUUUCACGGGCCGGUCUUUAAGGUGUCGCAGAUAAAUAAGAUUAAAAUACAGAAUAAAACCAGUACCGGUACCAAAAAAAGGUGAUUUAAUUAUAGCACAUGGGAAAAGACCCAGGGAAACUGACUUAACGAUAAAAAUGAUAAAAAAAAAUAAUGAUAAAAACCGAUUAAAAACCCUGAAAACCAUAAAUUUCACACCUGAGCCUCAGCUCUCGCAGCCCGGUACCAAACGACUCUUAUGGGACCGGUACCGGUCCGUGGCCCGGGGGUUGGGGACCGCUGCUCUAAAUCACUGCUGUGUAUUCCAGGCAACCAGUGUGGUCUUGCUUUAAACUUGCAUUCUUUCCUAUGGCCAGCUGUGAGCAAGUCCUCUAGUUGCAAAAAGAAGUCCAGUAGAAGUCUGUUGUUUAAGCCUAUGAUCUCAGUAAACACUGUCCCGAUGCUAGUUCAUGUUCUAAAUGAUGGUCCCUGCUAAAGUGAAAAGGAAGAGUGAAGCUGGGAAUGCUGUAGGGCUGUGAUUGACGUGUUGCUAUCUUAUAAGCUUCAUGCAUUACAAUAACCUGAGGAUUAUGAUGGACUGUGAAGUGGAUGGGCUACUAUGUCACUGACAUUGUGGUUUACAAGUGAGUCUAAAUUAAAUAUAAUUUUAAUGCAGAUUAACUGAUGUCUCACCAUGUGAUGUAGGUCGCCAAUGGUGGAUGGCUGCUUGCCAUUUUACUGAUGUCAAGGACAGUUUGAAUUCAUCCUGGCUUCUAAAAAGGACCAAUCCUUGAUUUUUAUGUUGCAGUAUUAGGUAUUACUGCACAUCUAAUGUGAACAGUCUCACAGGCUGCAGUAGUUUUUAAUCUGCCUGUGAUUUAACAUGCCAGAUGAGGCGUUCAGUGGGGAUGGCAAUUCCAAAAGGCUGUAAAAGCCUUUUUGGGUGAGUGUAGAUAUGUCUAAACAAAAUCUCUUGCAAGUCCAGUGUAUUUUACUUAGCUUGAAUAGAUAAGUCAAUCCACAGAUUUACUGUUUAUGUGUGCUCUCUAUCCAAGUGCAAGCAAACAAAUGGCACUUUAAAGUGCUCAUAGAGGACAGCAGUAGAGAAGCAGAGAGCUGGGUGUGUCAAAGUGUCCUUAAGUCAAGCACUGAACCUCUAAAGCAGGUGCUUGCUGAGCACCAUCAAUGGGGUUACGUUUGUAUAUGAGUGAAGAGACAGACGCCAGUCAAAUUUUUUUCUACCUCUACAAGUGGGUGAAUAGAAUAAUGGUACAACCAUCCCAACCUCUGUUCACCUGUCAGCGUGUUAGAGCAAAGAUGAAGGCACCGAGGAGAGGAAUUCAGGGCCCACCUGCAGGGACUUCAGAUGGAUGUAUCGCUGUAGACGUUACACUUCCAACCUUCCCCUCCUCCUCCCCCCUCAAUGGCAGAAGUAUUACUGUGUGUUUAGUUGUGGUAAAUGAAGCUAUUUUAAAUAUUGUAAUAAAGAAAAAAUCAAUAAUAUAUGUAUUUUAACAGAUGUUCUCAUUUUUUCUCAGUGAGUUUUAUGAUGUUAAAAAACAACAGAGCUUUUAAAAUAAAAACAAAGAAAAAACUGUAGAUGACGUCUAAAUGUUUUAUAAAAGAUGAGUUUAGAUUUUGUAUAAGAUGUGAUAUUUUGUGGGAUUUGUCUACACUGUUAUACAACAAGAAAUUGAAUGUACUGUGACCGCCAUAGGCAUAAAACUGAUUGAAUAAUUGCUCAAUUAAUGAAUAAAUAAACUACUGAAAUUGUGGAAAAAA
ensembl:lncRNA